UCUCUCUGUCUGUGUCCUUGCCUCUCCCUGUGCUUUCUCCCUUUAUAGAACACGGGUAGGUGUGGAUCCUCACAGGCUAGGUCUCGGGAGCCAGGAAGAAGUAGGAGGGGAUGAAAAUCAUGUGGGGUAGUGGGUGCGAGAGUGGAGGCAGGUAUUGUAAAAUAUUAGCACGGUAGCAUGUUGGACAGUGAUGGCUCUUCCAUAGGUGGUUUGCUGUUCUUGCAGAGGCCCGCUCAAGGCCAAUGGAGCCGCCCCAGACAGAGGAGAAGCAUCUGGAGGAACGAGACCUGCACAAUCUAGAUGUUUUUCACUUGGCAGUGGAGCUAAGGAGUGCUGUCGUGAUAUUCGAGGAGCAGUACCAAGGGAAAAGAAGUGGAGGGUCAGAGUCUGCUCCCCUCAUGCAAUGGAAAGCAAGUAAGAGCAGAGAGACAGCGAACGUUACUGAUGCCAGGCAAGAGCCGUCCAGCUUGGAGCCGAGGAGCCGUCAUCGUCAGUGAGAGAAGUGUCUUGUUAGCUGCGCUGGUACAGGAAUUGUCCAGGAACCCUACCCGGAGGAGAGACUCUCAGAAGUGAACCUGAUCAGCCUGAACAUCCUUCUAAGCAGACAUGAACAGUCCUCAGCUUUCUGCCUCCUGCAUAAAUGGCUGUGAGUAAGCGGAAAAGAAGUCAUGUGCCAGUCUACUACCCUUAUGUGAUGGAAAGCGAGCGAGAGCGAUGAGACCAUGAGCAUGGUUGAUGCCACGCAAAAGCCAUCCAUCUGGCAGCAGAAGAGCCAUCACUGUCAGUGAGAUAAGUAUCUGUUUUGGUGAGGGCUCUGCUCAUGGCCCACGUUGAUGCUGGUAGGGAUGCCCCGUUAGCUAGGGCUGGGUUUGUAAGAAAAGGUUCCUGACUAGCUGUGGUUGUAAGAGAGACAAGGUUCCCAAUUUCAGGGGCUGAUGAUUCCUCUGGUCAGGAGCAAUGUGUCCUACGCAGCAGAAGGUAGCAUCUAGAGGAUGACUCCAGGUGUCGAGUUAUUUGCCUUCCUCUCAUGUUUCUCUGUCUUCUCUAUUGUGUUGGCCAACACUCUUGCUCUUUCAUUCUCCCUUCCUUGCCUUUCCUGGUGCCGUCUCCCUACGUAGGACGCGGGAAAAGGGUGCUAGGUGUGCAUCCACACAGUCUGUCUUUGGGACCCACGAAGACUUAGGAGGGUAUGAAAAUCAUGCAUAUUAGUGGGUGCCACAGUGGAGCAAUGUCUGUCAGUGUUGACUUGGUCUUUAAUCAUCGCCUGGGGCUGAUGUAGACCAAAUGAGAGA